GAGACAGCAGUAGCCGCGGUAAUACGUAGGUGGCAAGCGUUGUCCGGAAUUAUUGGGCGUAAAGGGCUCGCAGGCGGUUUUUUAAGUCUGAUGUGAAAGCCCCCGGCUCAACCGGGGAGGGUCAUUGGAAACUGGGAAACUUGAGUGCAGAAGAGGAGAGUGGAAUUCCACGUGUAGCGGUGAAAUGCGUAGAGAUGUGGAGGAACACCAGUGGCGAAGGCGACUCUCUGGUCUGUAACUGACGCUGAGGAGCGAAAGCGUGGGGAGCAAACAGGAUUAGAUACCCGCGUAGUCCCUGUCUCUUAUAC
rnacentral:rRNA from 1 species